rnacentral:rRNA from 1 species
GAUCCUGGCUCAGGAUGAACGCUGGCGGCGUGCCUAAUACAUGCAAGUCGAGCGAACAGACGAGGAGCUUGCUCCUCUGACGUUAGCGGCGGACGGGUGAGUAACACGUGGAUAACCUACCUAUAAGACUGGGAUAACUUCGGGAAACCGGAGCUAAUACCGGAUAAUAUAUUGAACCGCAUGGUUCAAUAGUGAAAGAACGGUUUUGUCUGUCACUUAUAGAUGGAUCCGCGCCGCAUUAG